GACGAACGCUGGCGGCGCGCCUAACACAUGCAAGUCGAACGAGCGAGAGAGAGCUUGCUUUCUCGAGCGAGUGGCGAACGGGUGAGUAACGCGUGAGGAACCUGCCUCAAAGAGGGGGACAACAGUUGGAAACGACUGCUAAUACCGCAUAAGCCCACGACCCGGCAUCGGGUAGAGGGAAAAGGAGCAAUCCGCUUUGAGAUGGCCUCGCGUCCGAUUAGCUAGUUGGUGAGGUAACGGCCCACCAAGGCGACGAUCGGUAGCCGGACUGAGAGGGUGAACGGCCACAUUGGGACUGAGACACGGCCCAGACUCCUACGGGAGGCAGCAGUGGGGAAUAUUGCACAAUGGGGGAAACCCUGAUGCAGCGACGCCGCGUGGAGGAAGAAGGUCUUCGGAUUGUAAACUCCUGUUGUUGAGGAAGAUAAUGACGGUACUCAACAAGGAAGUGACGGCUAACUACGUG
rnacentral:rRNA from 1 species